UAGAGUUUGAUCCUGGCUCAGAUUGAACGCUGGCGGCAUGCCUUACACAUGCAAGUCGAACGGCAGCACGGGAGCAAUCCUGGUGGCGAGUGGCGAACGGGUGAGUAAUACAUCGGAACGUGCCCUGUCGUGGGGGAUAACUAGUCGAAAGAUUAGCUAAUACCGCAUACGACCUGAGGGUGAAAGCGGAGGACCGCAAGGCCUCGCGCGAUAGGAGCGGCCGAUGUCUGAUUAGCUAGUUGGUGGGGUAAAGGCCCACCAAGGCGACGAUCAGUAGCUGGUCUGAGAGGACGAUCAGCCACACUGGGACUGAGACACGGCCCAGACUCCUACGGGAGGCAGCAGUGGGGAAUUUUGGACAAUGGGGGCAACCCUGAUCCAGCAAUGCCGCGUGUGUGAAGAAGGCCUUCGGGUUGUAAAGCACUUUUGUCCGGAAAGAAAUCCCCUGCUGUAAUACAGCGGGGGGAUGACGGUACCGGAAGAAUAAGCACCGGCUAACUACGUGCCAGCAGCCGCGGUAAUACGUAGGGUGCAAGCGUUAAUCGGAAUUACUGGGAAUAG
rnacentral:rRNA from 1 species